rnacentral:misc_RNA from 1 species
UCUCCGUAGGUGAACCUGCGGAGGGAUCAUUACUGAGUGAGGGCCCCCGGCCCGACCUCCAACCCUUUGUGUAUCUCGACCCUGUUGCCUCGGGGGCGACCCGGCCUUCGGGCGUCGGGGCCCCCGGAGCCCAUCAAACCCUGCGUAACUAAGUCGUCGGAGUUUAAACAAAUUAAACAAAACUUUCAACAACGGAUCUCUUGGUUCGGGCAUCGAUGAAGAACGCAGC